GAGAUGGAUUGGUGCUUCCGGAACGUCUGACACAGGUGCUGCAUGGCUGUCGUCAGCUCGUGUCGUGAGAUGUUGGGUUAAGUCCCGUAACGAGCGCAACCCUUGUCCUUAGUUACCAGCACGUUAUGGUGGGCGACUCUAAGGAGACUGCCGGUGACAAACCGGAGGAAGGUGGGGAGUGACGUCAAGUCAUCAUGGCCCUUACGGCCUGGGCUACACACGUGCUACAAUGGUCGGUACAAAGGGUUGCCAAGCCGCGAGGUGGAGCUAAUCCCAUAAAACCGAUCGUAGUCCGGAUCGCAGUCUGCAACUCGACUGCGUGAAGUCGGAAUCGCUAGUAAUCGUGAAUCAGAAUGUCACGGUGAAUACGUUCCCGGGCCUU
rnacentral:rRNA from 1 species